CGGCGCAGGAGCCCCUGCGACGCCCGUCCGGCGGCCCCGCGGCUGCUGCCCCCCAGUGAAAAAAAUGCAGGGGGCGGCCCUGAGGGCAGCGCGGGCCCGGCGCCUCCGCUCCUUGCCGCGGUGUUUUCUGUGCGACCCCAUCGUGGCGGAACGGGGCCAGUUUUGCAUUUCUCGGAGGCAGAAAAACCCUCUAAAAUAAGCACGAAUAGCAACUGAAUAGCAGAGAGAGAAAACUAGGAGGUACUUCGGGGAACGUGAGAUCCUCUGGCGCUGAUAACGUUGCACUGCUCUGUUCCUUAGAGUGGUAAUCAUUUUAAUCAGGUCUGGAUUAUCUCACUAGGCAUUUAAUUUUCUUACCCGUUUGUUCAGAUGCAUUACUGGUAAACAGAGAUUUUAAAAUGCAUUUGAUUGCAUUCUUGAUAAAGCAUUUUUACCCAGGCACGUGGCAGAGUUCCUACAACCGGAGGUUUUCAAAUGCAAUUUGACGGGACUACAAGAUCGCCUCUAGACUCCCUCCUGAGCAGUCCAAGACCACCUUGGAAAUGAGUUGCUACACAAAUAGAAAUCCUUUUACAAAUUCACGGAAUUGUUCCGGUUGGAAGUGACCUCUGGAGAUCAUCCAAUCCAACCCGCCUGCUAAGGCAGGGUCACCUGGAGCAGGUGACACAGGAACACCUCCAGUUUAUGGUGAUUGCUCCUUGUCCUGUCACUGCAGAGAGUCUGGCACUCCUGUGCAAUCCAACAGGAAGGCUGGGUGAGGAGAGUGCCAUUCAGCCUCCAUUCCUCUGCCUGUCUUUUCUGUACAAAGAUUUCAAAACAAAAAAUAUCUUAAAUUCUUUACUAACACACAAUAAAUGUUUUUGUUUCA